AAAAACAAAGAGUGUUCCUAGAGGCCAGAAAGCAUGUUCUGGGAGAUGAUGGGCAUCCCACCCAGCUGCCUGAGGAAAUUGAUGCUGCAUUCCCACUUAAGAGACCAAACUGGGAUUUUAAUACAGCUGAAGCCCUUCUCUGAGGGCCCAUUUACAGGCCCUACAGAUUGUGCAGAGAGAUGUCUGGAGACCUUUGGCCGCUGCUUACCAGGACAAGCUUGAGCAUC
rnacentral:lncRNA from 1 species